GUGCGCGCCACCACGUCUGGCUAAUUUUUGCAUUUUUUAGUAGAGACGGGGUUUCACCGUUUUGGCCAGGCUGGUUUCGAACUCCUGACCUCGUGAUCUGCCCGCCUCGGCCUCCCAAAGUGCUGGGAUUACAGGCAUGAGCCACCGCGCCCUGCCAAGAGUAGGUAAAACUGUAAUAGAGCCAGACCUUUGUGUGUGUGUGUGUGUGUCUGUGUGUCUGUCUCACACACACACACACACACACAAAUGGCUGGGUGCAGUGGCUCACGCCUAUAAUCCCAGCACUUUGGGAGGCUGAGGCGGGCGGAUCACUUUAGGCCAGGAGUUUGAGACCAGCCUGGCCAACAUGGCAAAACCC
rnacentral:lncRNA from 1 species